GGAGGGAUGGCCGAGCGGUCGAAGGCGCACGCUUGGAAAGCGUGUGUGCGUGAAAACGUACCGUGGGUUCGAAUCCCACUCCCUCCGCCA
rnacentral:tRNA from 5 species